rnacentral:piRNA from 1 species
UGGUGAAGACUAUGAGACACUGCGUCAGAUA